CGAGCUAGCGCGUCGAAGGUAGUUCUAUGGUUUUCCUCGCGUUCUUGAGUCGGGAAAUGGCCGCUGUGUGGUUGCAACGGAGAUAAAUCCCCGGAACCGCGAUUCGGCGUGUCAGGAAUUUGAAUUUAGAGUUUAAUUUCUCAGAGCAUUCUCUCCAGGAAGAAUUUUUACAGUAUCUCAAAGACUUCACUUGACUUCUUGAUCCUGCAUAAACCCAAGAAGAGUGAGAGAAGACAAAGGUGGUAGUCUAUUAGAGGAUAGUUAUGUUUUAUUUUGAAAUAAGCAUUUAUCUCAAACAUCUUGAAUUUGUUAUUUAUAUUGCUUGAUGAGGAACUAUCCAAGUAUUACCAUUACCUCUUCUAUAACUGAACUCAUCUUAGUACCUCCAAAUACUAUUUUAUUAUACCGAACAAAGUCUAGGAGAAAAGAAAUGGGUCGCUCCAAUUCUAGAUCACAUUCUUCAAGGUCAAAGUCUAGAUCACAGUCUAGUUCUCGAUCAAGAUCAAGAUCUCAUUCUAGAAAGAAGCGAUACAGUUCUAGGUCUCGUUCCAGAACAUAUUCAAGGUCUCGUAGUAGAGAUCGUAUGUAUUCUAGAGAUUAUCGUCGCGAUUACAGAAAUAAUAGAGGAAUGAGACGACCUUAUGGGUACAGAGGAAGGGGUAGAGGGUAUUAUCAAGGAGGAGGUGGUAGAUAUCAUCGAGGUGGUUAUAGACCUGUCUGGAAUAGAAGGCACUCUAGGAGUCCUAGACGAGGUCGUUCACGUUCCAGGAGUCCAAAAAGAAGAUCCGUUUCUUCUCAAAGAUCCAGAAGCAGAUCUCGCCGGUCAUAUAGAUCUUCUAGGUCUCCAAGAUCAUCCUCUUCUCGUUCUUCAUCCCCAUAUAGCAAAUCUCCUGUUUCUAAAAGACGAGGGUCUCAGGAAAAACAAACCAAAAAAGCUGAAGGGGAACCCCAAGAAGAGAGUCCGUUGAAAAGUAAAUCACAGGAGGAACCGAAAGAUACAUUUGAACAUGACCCAUCUGAGUCUAUCGAUGAAUUUAAUAAGUCAUCAGCCACAUCCGGUGAUAUUUGGCCUGGCCUUUCAGCUUAUGAUAAUAGUCCUAGAUCACCCCAUAGUCCUUCACCUAUUGCUACACCACCUAGUCAGAGUUCAUCUUGCUCUGAUGCUCCCAUGCUCAGUACAGUUCACUCUGCAAAAAAUACUCCUUCUCAGCAUUCACAUUCCAUUCAGCAUAGUCCUGAAAGGUCUGGGUCUGGUUCUGUUGGAAAUGGAUCUAGUCGAUACAGUCCUUCUCAGAAUAGUCCAAUUCAUCACAUCCCUUCACGAAGAAGUCCUGCAAAGACAAUCGCACCACAGAAUGCUCCAAGAGAUGAGUCUAGGGGCCGUUCCUCAUUUUAUCCUGAUGGUGGAGAUCAGGAAACUGCAAAGACUGGGAAGUUCUUAAAAAGGUUCACAGAUGAAGAGUCUAGAGUAUUCCUGCUUGAUAGGGGUAAUACCAGGGAUAAAGAGGCUUCAAAAGAGAAAGGAUCAGAGAAAGGGAGGGCAGAGGGAGAAUGGGAAGAUCAGGAAGCUCUAGAUUACUUCAGUGAUAAAGAGUCUGGAAAACAAAAGUUUAAUGAUUCAGAAGGGGAUGACACAGAGGAGACAGAGGAUUAUAGACAGUUCAGGAAGUCAGUCCUCGCAGAUCAGGGUAAAAGUUUUGCUACUGCAUCUCACCGGAAUACUGAGGAGGAAGGACUCAAGUACAAGUCCAAAGUUUCACUGAAAGGCAAUAGAGAAAGUGAUGGAUUUAGAGAAGAAAAAAAUUAUAAACUUAAAGAGACUGGAUAUGUAGUGGAAAGGCCUAGCACUACAAAAGAUAAGCACAAAGAAGAAGACAAAAAUUCUGAAAGAAUAACAGUAAAGAAAGAAACUCAGUCACCUGAGCAGGUAAAGUCUGAAAAGCUCAAAGACCUCUUUGAUUACAGUCCCCCUCUACACAAGAAUCUGGAUGCACGAGAAAAGUCUACCUUCAGAGAGGAAAGCCCACUUAGGAUCAAAAUGAUAGCGAGUGAUUCUCACCGUCCUGAAGUCAAACUCAAAAUGGCACCUGUUCCUCUUGAUGAUUCUAACAGACCUGCUUCCUUGACUAAAGACAGGCUGCUUGCUAGUACACUUGUCCAUUCUGUCAAGAAGGAGCAAGAAUUCCGAUCCAUCUUUGACCACAUUAAGUUGCCACAGGCCAGCAAAAGCACUUCAGAGUCAUUUAUUCAACACAUUGUGUCCUUGGUUCAUCAUGUUAAAGAGCAAUACUUCAAGUCAGCUGCAGUGACCCUAAACGAGCGGUUCACUUCGUAUCAGAAAGCCACUGAAGAGCAUAGUACUCGGCAAAAGAGCCCUGAAAUACACAGGAGAAUUGACAUCUCACCAAGUACCCUGAGGAAGCAUACCCGUUUAGCAGGGGAAGAGAGAGUUUUUAAAGAAGAAAAUCAAAAGGGAGAUAAAAAAUUAAGGUGUGACUCUGCUGACCUUCGGCAUGACAUUGAUCGCCGUAGAAAAGAAAGAAGUAAAGAACGGGGAGAUUCCAAGGGCUCCAGGGAAUCCAGUGGAUCAAGAAAGCAGGAAAAAACUCCAAAAGAUUACAAGGAAUACAAAUCUUACAAAGAUGACAGCAAAAAUGUAUUUGUCUUUUACACGGCUUAUGGUGGAUGAGGACAAAAACUUUGGAAUAGCAAGCUAACACUGAAAAAAAAAAUGACAAAUUAAUGUGUCCUAUUAUCCAGGCUACAUCAGGAGGUUGGACUUCAAUGCAGUGCAUUUCUAGAAACAGUUUGUUAAACAUAAAAGUAGAGAGCAAGAUCAUUCUCGAUCUUCAUCCUCUUCAGCAUCACCUUCUUCUCCCAGUUCUCGAGAAGAAAAGGAGAGUAAGAAGGAAAGAGAAGAAGAAUUUAAAACUCACCAUGAAAUGAAAGAAUACUCAGGCUUUGCAGGAGUUAGCCGACCACGAGGAACCUUUUUUCGAAUUAGAGGCAGAGGAAGAGCCAGAGGAGUUUUUGCUGGGACAAAUACUGGUCCAAACAACUCAAAUACUACUUUUCAAAAGAGACCGAAGGAAGAGGAAUGGGAUCCAGAAUAUACCCCAAAGAGCAAGAAGUACUUCUUGCAUGACGACAGAGAUGAUGGUGUGGAUUAUUGGGCCAAAAGAGGAAGAGGUCGUGGUACUUUUCAACGUGGCAGAGGGCGCUUUAACUUCAAAAAAUCAGGUAGCAGUCCUAAAUGGACUCAUGACAAAUACCAAGGGGAUGGGAUUGUUGAAGAUGAGGAAGAGACCAUGGAAAAUAAUGAAGAAAAGAAGGACAGACGCAAGGAAGAAAAGGAAUAAUAAAUAUGAAGUAAGAUUACAACAGAGCAGAACUUGCACCCACCAUUUUUUACCUGAUUUUUGUUUUCAAAUAAGAAUGUAAGCAUUUUACUUAAAUUUUACUGUUUGCAAGUAGUCUAUAGAAAUUUUGUUUUAAGUCUUCAAAUAUCUUGAGAAAUAGUAGACUGUAUGUUGAAAAUUGUACUGAAAUAAAGUAGAAAAUUGUUACGUACCAUAUUUGUAACUAUCAACUUUUAAAACUUUUAACGUUUUUGUUACAUGCAUUGUAAUUCUGCUUUGUCUUUAAGAUAUGGUCAAGUACAGCUCUGUGAAAGUUCUGAUUCUCUUCCUUCCCUGUUUGUCAAUGUUUUAUUCUGAAGUAAACGUUAGCUCUACAUAAAAAUCCUGGAACAGAAAUUGUUUAUAGAAACUACACUAAUUGUUUUAACUGUAUACAUCUGUUUAAUUUGAACACACUACAUUGUAGGGUGACUAAUUUUUGAAGUAUACCACAGACAAAAAGUUGUUACUUUGGUGAACUAAGCUAGUUUAACACUUGAGCAAAUGCUUAAGAAGGAAUUAAAAAAAAAAAAAAAAAAGCUUUGCCAAUAGCUAAAAAGUAAAAGCUAUUAAAAAUCAGAUUGAAAAGUUCUGAGAAAAUGUUAUUUUUACUGAAAGCAAGCAGUGGCCUAUAAAGAACAUUCUUAGGAGCCUUUUCUAUUUGCGUUCAAAACUGAGUGUUCUCUUUCUAUUCCUAUUUGAUAGUUUGAGUCAUGGUCUUAGAUAUUAGCUAUUUGUGAGAGGAAACUGGUUUGUAAUAAUACUGCAAAUAGAAACCCCAUUUCUACUGAACAUCCUACUUUUAAACAGAAGAAAAACUGUAAUCCUGGGGUUGGUAUGGAGGAGGUUUAUCCUGCAGAAUAAGUUGAUACAUUAGUACCUGAUUUAAUAUCUUAUGUAUUUAUUUGAGCUGAACAUUAGUUUGUAGUGUAACUAUUAGUAAAAAUAGAGAAACACAGCAUACUGUUCAUUAAUACCAUUUUAAGAAAAUUGUUUUUCAAAUGUCACCAAUAAAAGUUUUGGCAGGAAGCCUGUUGCCGCAUUGAUCUAACUUUUUUCCCCCCUAUUUCAGUUGCAGUUUGUAGAAUGGCUUUUUCUUUUUCCUCUUAAGAGUUCUAUUCUUCAGGUAGAUAACUUUUCAAAUGUGAAUUAUCUUUUGUGUCUAUAUUGAUAGCUCUUAAAGGAGUGAAAAUCUAAAAUAGUAAAUUUCAAUGUUAAGUCUGUCUGCUUUAUGGGCAUAUAUAAAAGUAGACACAUUUCAUUUGUUAAUUUAGUUGUGUGUGUUAAAAGGAGCUAAUGCUUAUUCUGUUAAUGUAAACUUUUGAAGAUCUUAAGUGUAUUGCUCUUUCAUCUUAAACACUUUCGAGGAUUUGCAAUGCGUCUAGCACCUAGGUUACAGCCAGGGACAUUGGUGAAGAACUAUUGGAAACAAAACUAAAAACAAACUCAUCAUAUGUGAUGUUUAUGGCCCUCAGAUCCUUAGUAUUGUGUGAUUUUUCCCCCGUUAACAUGUCUUUCUGAAAUUGUCUAUUAAAGCAGAGGAAAUACCUGCCAAAGGAAGUAUGUAUUGCAUUAAUCAGGACAUAACUAAUAUUCUCCUGUUCAGAAUAAUACUUAUUUACGUGUGAAAGCAACAUGGAUGUGAUUCCUAGCACAGAAUUUUCAUGACCCUUUUAUUGUAUACAAAUGAAUACCCUAACAGUUACUUGGUUAGACAUCAAAUCUGUGUGCAUGACUAUGUGCUUAUCCACUUAAGACAGUAGGUAAAAGGGGAUCUGAGAAAUUAUGUAAUAGGGAGUGGGAAUAAAGCUACUUGAUUCCUGUGGGCAGGUUACAUUUUAAGUUCAAAUGCAUUGCUUUAACCUUUGGUUACUUUUAUUCUAUUAAACAAAAUUGAGGAAAGAGUAUUAUACCAGAGUGUAGUAGGCUAGGGUGAUUGUAAAAACUCUGGAAUAGAAUGUCAUUGUGGAUGUUACCUUUUUCAGAUCCAAGCAUAUAAAAAGUAGCCUGUAUAUUUUUUUAAAACACAUCUUAACUCCACGCUUUACGACGUUAUAAAAGUUGAAUGGUUCCUCUUGGUAAGGAUAUUUGUUUACAAGUGCUAGGAAAUAACUCAUUGAUACCUGUGUCAACAUACUUUGUUUUGCCUAGAGAGGGGCAAUAAAAAUGAACCAAAGGAUAUUUCCAGAAAGGAUUAAGAAAGCUGUUUAAGAAGGCCAUGACUCUUUAGGUGUGUAUGGUGUACCUUUCAGCAUCCUAGGAAUUUUUAUACUAAAAGCAAAAUGUUUUUCCAGUUACAGUCUACUUCAAGGAAUUACUGUUGUUCCUUUUGUCACAGGUAAAAUCAGUGUUGGGAAUUAUAAUUUGAGAAAAAUAUUACCCAGUAACAUUGAAUGUAGAUGGCUAAACGAUUCUUACUCAGUGUGAUGUAUAAUGCAACAGGGACCCUUGUAAAUUGUCAUACGCCAAUAAAAUGUCACAAGUAAUAACUGCUGUUUGUUUACCUGUGUCUAUUUCACACCUUAUUUCUAUGGCUUAUUUUAGAAUAUCAGCAUAUCUGUUAGGAAGAUUACUGGUGUGGUAAGGCUUGAUAAAUGCUUUAUAAACUCCCUCAAACCUCUCUUUACUGUUUCUUUGUUUCGUUUUGUUUUUUUUUUUGUUUUUUCCCUUGUCUCCCCUGGGAAAAUGGGAAAGUUUACAGUUGGUAAAUCUAAGCCAUUAUUUUGAAAUACAGGAAUUCUGGAUUUCUAGUUUAGUCCUCUUUUUCUUAACGUUAAUCUGGGACCUUAUCACUCAUAAUAAGAUUGUGAUUACUUCUCUCUCUGAAAACAUAGUAGCUAGUAAAUAACUAAAAAGAAUUGUCUUUUCAUUCACUUUGAGUAAGAUCUGGUAUAAUUCUUACCACGUGCCAUCCUGUCAGUUUUAACAAAGCGUUUUUACAGAAAUUUGUGUGCUAAGACAAAUUGACACAUUUUGACUCAUAAAAAUGGCAAAUUAGUCCUUAAAAAUUCUGUGAGAGAAAUAAGAACUCUGUGUGUACGUAUAUAUGCAUGUAAAGGGUUGUGUAAGAUCACUGGUAGCUUAAUUAUCCUGGAUAAUUAUAAUGUUAUAUACAAAUUUCUUAUAUAAAAGUAUGCUGUAUUAUUAAGAACAUUUGUUUAACUUUUCUUAUUUUUCUUUUUCUGGGUUUCAACUGGAAUCCCUUUGGUGGGGAUGUACCUUAAGUUUCCUUGUGGAAUAAUACACUUUCACAUCCAGAAAGAGAAGUUCAGAGGCUUUUCUCAGUUUACAGAGUUGAAGAGAGAAGGCAAAUGGAGAAAUAAACUUCAUUGUCAUUGGGAUUAAUUUGGCUAGACUCAAUCUCUUAAGCCUUAAAAUGAGAAAGUAAUAUCCAUUAUAUGUUUAGAGUUCUCAAAUACUUGAUACUGUUAUUAAAUCUGUUUCAAAUUUUAUUGGGGUAGAUACUAAAAAUUAGUACACUGUCCUAAUGAAGUUUAAAUGAACAAGUUUUACAUUUCUUAGGAUUCGGGAAUAUAUGGAAUCUAGUUGUAUUUAAUUGACUUGAGAGCCACAGAGAUUGUGUUGAUUUAUGAGCUGGACUCCUAUUGUUUUAGAAACAUGCAGUAAUGAUUAACAUGUGUCAGUGAUGGUAAUGAGACCAAACUUGUACAUUUAAUUAAGGGUACCAGUUCUCUUUAUGUUAGCAGACUAUACCUUGGCCUUUAAAAAUGAAUCUCACUGAUUAAAGAGAACAGGCAAUAUUAGGACAGCAUUCCACCACAACUAGAAACAUUCAAAUAAUGUGUCUUAAUUGUAAUCUGUAUGUAGGAAAAUUCUUCCUAUGGAUAUUUUUGGUGUUUUACCACAGUGAACUGAUUUGUAGCACUUACAAAGUGCAAAAGGUAAUUUUGAAAAUAGAAAAAUGUUGGGUGAGCAGGCUUUAAUGCUUUUCCCCCCAGAAUAUACAUCAAAUUUUUCUUAAUCUUUUGGGGUUGACCAGUUUCCAAAUUCAUUAAUAAUGAGCUCUGCCUUUAAUAAAAGUACAUGAUCAUAGCUACACUGUACGUUUAGGUGGUGUGAAAUGAUUUAUAAUCACAGCAUGAACUGUGUAUUUGCUUGGUACUGUCAUAGUGAUUACAAAUUUCAUGGAAUGCGAAGAGCCACAAUAAAUAAAAAAUACCA